rnacentral:SRP_RNA from 1 species
GCCGGGUGCAGUGGCACGUACCUAUAGUCCCAGCUACUUGGGAGGCUGAGGUGGGCAGAUUUCUUGAGCCCAGGAUUUCUGGGCUGUAGUGAGCUAUGCUGAUCGGGCAUCCCACUAAGUUCAGCAUCAGUAUGGUGACCUCCUGGGAGCAGGGGACCACCAGGUUGCCUAAGGAGGGGUGAACCGGCCCAGGUCAGAAACGGAGCAGGUCAAAACUCCUGUGCUGAUCACUAUGGGGGGCAUCGUGCCUGUGAAUAGCCACUGAGCUCCAGCCUGGGCAACAUAGUGUGACCCCAUCUCU